rnacentral:lncRNA from 1 species
CGAUUUCGUGCUCUAUAGGUUCAUUUUGUUUCUGUAUCAUUCAGGUUUUUAAUGGAAAUCGAUACGAGCCUUUCAAAGAACAGAGUUUAGCAAGUGGGAACAGGUUUUUAAUGGAAAUCGAUACGAGCCUUUCAAAGAACAGAGUUUAGCAAGUGGGAACAGGUUUAUAAUGGAAAUCGAUACGAGCCUUUCAAAGAACAGAGUUUAGCAAGUGGGAACAGGUAUGAAGCACAAAAUUAUGAUGAAAGU